UACGUAGGCAGCAAGCGUUGUUCGGAGUUACUGGGCGUAAAGAGUGCGUAGGUGGUGCCCUAAGUCUGUUGUGAAAUCUCCCGGCUUAACUGGGAGGGUGCGGUGGAAACUGGGGUGCUUGAGUGUGGGAGAGGUAAGCGGAAUUCCUGGUGUAGCGGUGAAAUGCGUAGAUAUCGUAAGGAAGACCAGUGGCGAAGGCGGGUCUCUGGACAGUUCCUGACGCUGAGGCACGAAGGCCAGGGGAGCAAACGGG
rnacentral:rRNA from 1 species